rnacentral:lncRNA from 1 species
GGCGCAACAGAGUAGUCUAUUGUUGUUCCGGUUUUGGUUAUUGUUAAGGUUGACAUCGAUUCGUUUCAAAUUUACACUCUCGAGGCAUAAUAGAACAAUAUAAUUAGGUUUUACUCUUUGUUCGAUAGAAUGAGAAAAAGUACUCAUUGCAAAGUUAUACUGUUAGGGCGCAACCGAAUAGUCUAAUGUUGUUCCGGUUUUGGUUCUUGUGAACGCUGACAUCAAUUGGUUCGAAAUUACAACUCUCGGGGCAUAAUUGAACAAUAUAAAUUAGGUUUUACUCUUUGUUCGAUAGAAUGAGAAAAAGAACUCGUCGCAAAGUUAUACUGCUAGGGGGCAACUGAGUAGUCUAAUAUUGUUCCGGUUUUGGUUCUUGUGAACGUUGACAUCGAUUCGUUCCAAAUUUACACUCUCGGGGCAUAAUAGAACAAUACAAUUAAGUUUUACUCUUUGUUCGAUCGAAUGAGAAAAAGUACUCGUUGCAAAUUUAUAAUAUUAGGGCGCAGCUGAGUAGUCUAAUGUUGUUCCGGUUUUGGUUCUUGUGAAGGUUGACAUCGAUUCGUUCCAAAUUUACACUCUUGGGGCAUAAUAGAACAAUAUAAUUAGCUUUUACACUUUGUUCGAUCGAAUGGGAAAAAAGUACUCGUUACAAAGUUAUACUGUUAGGGCGCAACUGAGUAGUCUAUUGUUGUUCCAGCUUUGGUUCUUAUGAAGGUUGACAUCGAUUCAUUCCAAAUUUACACUCUCGCGGCAUAAUAGAACAAUAUAAUUAGCUUUUACACUUUGUUCGAUUGAAUGAGAAAAAGUACUAGUUGCAAAGUUAUAUUGUUGGGGUACAACAGAGUAGUCUAUUGUUGUUCCGGUUUUGGUUCUAGUGAAAGUUGACAUCGAUUCGUUCCAAAUUUACACUCUCGGGGCAUAAUGAAUAAAAUAAUUAGCUUUUACACUUUGUUCGAUUGAAUGAGAAAAAGUACUAGUUGCAAAGUUAUACUGUUGGGGCGCAACAGAGUAGUCUACUGUUGUUCCGGUUUUGGUUCUUGUUAAGGUUGACAUCGAUUCAUUCCAAAUUUACACUCUCGGGGCAUAAUAGGACAAUAUAAUUAGGUUUUACUCUUUGUUCGAUAGAAUGAGAAAAAGUACUCAUUGCAAAGUUCUACUGUUAGGGCGCAACUGAAUAGCGUUAUGUUGUUACGGUUUUGGUUCUUGUGAACGUUGACAUCGAUUCGUUCGAAAUUACAACUCUCGCGGCAUAAUUGAACAAUAUAAUUAGGUUUUACACUUUGUUCAAUAGAAUGAGAAAAAGUACUCGUCGCAAAGUUAUACUGUUGGGGCGCAACUAAGUAGUCUAAUGUUGUUCCGGUUUUGGUUCUUGUGAACGUUGACAUCGAUUCGUUCCAAAUUUACACUCUCGGGGCAAAAUAGGACAAUAUAAUUAAGUUUUACGCUUUGUUCGAUCGAAUGAGAAAAUGUACGCGUUGCAAAUUUAUACUGUUAGGGCGCAGCUGGGUAGUCUAAUGUUGUUCCGGUUUCGGUUCAUGUGAAGGUUGACAUCGAUUCGUUCCAAAUGUACACUCUUGGGGCAUAAUAGAACAAUAUAAUUAGCUUUUACACUUUGUUCAAUCGAAUGGAAAAAAAUACUCGUUGCAAAGUUAUACUGUUAGGGCGCAGCUUAGUAGUCUAAUGUUGUUCCGGUUUUGGUUCUUGUGAAGGUUGACAUCGAUUCGUUCUAAAUUUACACUCGCGGGGCAUAAUAGAACAAUAUAAUUAGCUUUUACACUUUGUUCGGUCGAAUGGGAAAAAGUACUCGUUGCAAAGUUAUACUGUUAGGGCGGAACUGAGUAGACUAUUGUUGUUCCGGUUUUGGUUCUUGUGAAGGUUGACAUCGAUUCGUUCCAAAUUUACACUCUUGGGGCAUAAUAGAACAAUAUAAUUAGUUUUUACACUUUGUUCGAUUGAUUAAGAAAAAGUACUAGUUGCAAAGUUAUACUGUUGGGGCGCAACAGAGUAGUCUAUUGUUGUUCCGGUUUUGAUUCUUGCUAAGGUUGACAUCGAUUCGUUCCAAAUUUACACUCUCGGGGCAUAAUAGAACAAUAUAAUUUGGUUUUACUCUUUGUUCGAUAGAAUAAGAAAAAGUAGUCAUUGCAAUGUUAUACUGUUAGGGCGCCACUGAAUAGUCUAAUAUUGUUCCGGUUUUGGUUCUUGUGAACGUUGACAUCGAUUCGUUCGAAAUUACAACUCUCGGGGCAUAAUUGAACAAUAUAAUUAGGUUUUACUCUUUGUUCGAUAGAAUGAGAAAAAGUACUCGUCGCAAAGUUAUACUGCUAGGGCGCAACUGAGUAGUCUAAUGUUGUUCCGAUUUUGGUUCUUGUGAACGUUGACAUCGAUUCGUUCCAAAUUUACACUCUCGGGGCACAAUUGAACAAUAUAAUUAGGUUUUACUCUUUGUUCGAUAAAAAGAGAAAAAGUACUCGUUGCAAAGUUAUACUGUUAGGGCGCAACAGAGUAGUCUAAUGUUGUUCCGGUUUUCGUUCUUGUGAACGGUGACAUCGAUUCGUUCCAAAUUUACACUCUCGGGNCUGGGAACUUGUUGUACACAAUCUCGUCGUUGUGCCUUGGGCGGACAGGGGAGGUACUGUCCGUACGGCGGUCCGCCGCCGUGCCCGAACCGAACCAAAUUGGUAUCGGCCUCGGGGCGGGGGCGUGACAGAAAAAUUACUAGUUGCAAAGUUAUACUGUUGGGGCGCAACAGAGUAGUCUAUUGUUGUUCCGGUUUUGGUUAUUGUUAAGGUUGACAUCGAUUCGUUUCAAAUUUACACUCUCGAGGCAUAAUAGAACAAUAUAAUUAGGUUUUACUCUUUGUUCGAUAGAAUGAGAAAAAGUACUCAUUGCAAAGUUAUACUGUUAGGGCGCAACCGAAUAGUCUAAUGUUGUUCCGGUUUUGGUUCUUGUGAACGCUGACAUCAAUUGGUUCGAAAUUACAACUCUCGGGGCAUAAUUGAACAAUAUAAAUUAGGUUUUACUCUUUGUUCGAUAGAAUGAGAAAAAGAACUCGUCGCAAAGUUAUACUGCUAGGGGGCAACUGAGUAGUCUAAUAUUGUUCCGGUUUUGGUUCUUGUGAACGUUGACAUCGAUUCGUUCCAAAUUUACACUCUCGGGGCAUAAUAGAACAAUACAAUUAAGUUUUACUCUUUGUUCGAUCGAAUGAGAAAAAGUACUCGUUGCAAAUUUAUAAUAUUAGGGCGCAGCUGAGUAGUCUAAUGUUGUUCCGGUUUUGGUUCUUGUGAAGGUUGACAUCGAUUCGUUCCAAAUUUACACUCUUGGGGCAUAAUAGAACAAUAUAAUUAGCUUUUACACUUUGUUCGAUCGAAUGGGAAAAAAGUACUCGUUACAAAGUUAUACUGUUAGGGCGCAACUGAGUAGUCUAUUGUUAUUCCAGUUUUGGUUCUUGUGAAGGUUGACAUCGAUUCGUUCCAAAUUUACACUCUCGGGGCAUAAUAGAACAAUAAAAUUAGCUUUUACACUUUGUUCGAUUGAAUAAGAAAAAGUACUAGUUGCAAAGUUAUAUUGUUGGGGUGCAACAGAGUAGUCUAUUGUUUUUCCGAUUUUGGUUCUGGUGAAGGUUGAUAUCGAUUCGUUCCAAAUUUACACUCUCGGGGCAUAAUGAAUAAAAUAAAUAGCUUUUACACUUUGUUCGAUUGAAUGAGAAAAAGUACUAGUUGCAAAGUUAUACUGUUGGGGCGCAACAGAGUAGUUUACUGUUGUUCCGAUUUUGGUUCUUGUUAAGGUUGACAUCGAUUCAUUCCAAAUUUACACUCUCGGGGCAUAAUAGAACAAUACAAUUAAGUUUUACUCUUUGUUCGAUCGAAUGAGAAAAAGUACUCGUUGCAAAAUUAUGCUGUUAGGGCGCAACUGAGUAGUCUAGUGUUGUUCCGAUUUUGGUUCUUGUGAAGAUUGACAUCGAUUCGUUCCAAAUUUACACUCUCGGGGCAUAAUAGAACAAUAUAAUUAGCUUUUACACUUUGUUCGAUUGAAUGAGAAAAAGUACUAGUUGCAAAGUUAUACUGUUGGGGCGCAACAGAGUAGUCUAUUGUUGUUCCGGUUUUGGUUCUUGUUAAGGUUGACAUCGAUUCGUUCCAAAUUUACACUCUCGGGGCAUAAUAGAACAAUAUAAUUAGGUUUUACUCUUUGUUCGAUCGAAUGAGAAAAAGUACUCGUUGCAAAGUUAUACUGUUAGGGCGCAACUGAGUAGUCUAAUGUUGUUCCGGUUUUGGUUCUUGUGAACGUUGACAUCGAUUCGUUCGAAUUUACACUCUCGCGGCAUAAUAGAACAAUAUAAUUAGGUUUUACACUUUGUUCGAUAGAAUGAGAAAAAGUACUCGUUGCAAAGUUAUACUGUUAGGGCGCAACUGAGUAGUCUAAUGUUGUUCCGGUUUUGGUUCUUGUGAACGUUGACAUCGAUUCGUUCCAAAUUUACACUCUCGGGGCAUAAUAGAACAAUAUAAUUAGGUUUUACGCUUUGUUCGAUUGAAUGAGAAAAAGUACUCGUUGCAAAGUUAUACUGUUAGGGCGCAACUGAGUAGUCUAAUGUUGUUCCGGUUUUGGUUCUUGUGAACGUUGACAUCGAUUCGUUCCAAAUUUACACUCUCGGGGCAUAAUAGAACAAUAUAAUUAGNNNNNNNNNNNNNNNNNNNNNNNNNAGAUCGAUUCGUUCCAAAUUUACACUCUCGGGGCAUAAUAGGAAGUUUUUACUUCUUGUUCGAUAGAAUAAGAAAAAGUACUCAUCGCAAAGUUAUACUGUUAUGGCGCAACUGAGUAGUCUAAUGUUGUUCCGGUUUUGGUUCUUGUCAACGUUGACAUCGAUUCGUUCUAAAUUUACACUCUCGACGCUUGAACAAUAUAAUUAGGUUUUACUCUUUAUUCGAUUGAAUGAGAAAAAGGACUAGUUGCAAUGUUAUACUGUUAGGGCUCAACUGAGUAGUCUAACGUUCUUCCGGUUUUGGUUCUUGUGAACGCUGACAUUGAUUCGUUCCGAAUUUACACCCUUGGGGCAUAAAAGAAAGCUUUUACUCCUUGUUCGAUGAUUGAGAAAAAGUACUCAUUGCAAAGUUAUACUGUUAUGGCGCAAUAGAGUAGUCUAAUGUUGUUCCGGUUUUGGUUCUUGUGAACAUUGACGUCAAUUAGUUCCAAAUUUACACUCUCGGGGCAUAAUAGAACAAUAUUAUUAUGUUUUACGCUUUAUUCGAUUGAACGAGAAAAAGUACUCGUCGCAAAGUUAUUCUAUUAGGCGCAACUGAGUAGUCUAAUGUAGUUCCGGUUAUGGUACUUGUGAACGUUGACAUCGAUUCGUUCCAAAUUUACACUCUCGGGGCAUAAUAGAAAGCUUUUACUCCUUGUUCAAUAGAAUUAGAAAAAGUACUCGUUGCAAAGUUAAACUGUUAAGGCACACAGAGUAGUCUAUUGUUGUUCCGAUUUUGGUUCUUGUCAACGUUGACAUCGAUUCGUUCCAAAUUUACACUCUUGGGGUAUAAUAGAACAAUAUAAUUAGGUUUUACUCUUUAGUCGAUUGAAUGAGAAAAAGUACUAGUUGCAAUGUAAUACUAUCAGGGCUCAACUGAGUAGUCUAACGUUGUUUCUGUUUUGGUUCUUGUGAACGUUGACAUCGAUUCGUUCAAAAUUUACACUCUCGGGGAAUAAUAAAAAGCUUUUACUCCUUACUCGAAACAAUGAGAAAAAGUACACGUUGCAAAGUUAUGCUAUUAUGGCGCAACAGAGUAGCCUAAUGUAGUUCCGGUUUUGGUUCUUGUCAACGUUGACAUCGAUUCGUUCCAAAUAUACACUCUCGGGGCAUAAUAGAACAAUAUCGUUUGGUUUUACUCUUUAUUCGAUUGAAUGAGAGAAAGUACUCGUUGCAAAGUUAUACUGUUAUGGCAAAACUGAGUAGUCAAAUUUAGUUCCUGUUUUGGUUCUUGUGAACUUUGACUUCGAUUCGUUCCAAAUUUAUACUCUCGAGGCAUAAUAGAACAAUAUUAUUAGUUUUGCUAUUUGUUCGAUUGAAUGAGAACAAGUUCUAGUUGCAAAGUUAUACUGUCAAGGCUCAACUGAGUAGUCAAACGUUGUUCCGGUUUUGGUUUUUGUGAACGUCAACAUCGUUACGUUGCAAAUUUACACUCUCGGGGCAUAAUAGAAAGCUUUUACACCUUGUUCGAUAGAAAGAGAAAAAGUACUCGUUGCAAAAUUAUAUUGUUAUGGCGCAACAGAGUAGUCUAAUGUUAUUUCAGGUUUGGUUCUUGUGAACAUUGACAUCGAUUCAUACCAAAUUUACACUCUCGGUGCAUAAUAGAACAACAUAAGUAGGUUUUGCUCUUUGUUCGAUUGAAUGAGAAAAAGUACUAGUUGCAAUCUUAUACUGUUAGGGCUCAACUGAGUUGUCUAACGUUGUUUCGGUUUUGGUUCUCGUGAACGUUGACAUCGAUUCNNNNNNNNNNNNNNNNNNNNNNNNNAUACUGUUAUGGCGCAACUGAGUAGUCUAAUGUUGUUCCAGUUUUGGUUCUUGUGAACGUUGACAUCGAUUCGUUCCAAAUUAAAACUCUCCGGUAAUAAUAGAACAAUAUAAUUAGGUUUUGCUCUUUGUUCGAUUGAAUGAGAAAAAAUACUAGUUGCAAAGUUAUACUGUUAGGGCUCAACUGAGUAGUCUAACGUUGUUCCGGUUUUAGUUCGUGCGAACGUUGACAUUGAUUCGCUCCAAAUUUACACUCUCGGGGCAUAAUAGAUAGCUUUUACUCCUUAUUCGAUAGAAUUAGAAAAAGUACUCGUUGCAAAGUUAAACUGUUAAGGCGCAACUGAGUAGUCUAGCGUUGUUCCAGUUUUGGUUCUUGUGAACGUUGACAUCGAUUCGUUCCAAAUUUACACUCUCGGGGUAUAAUAGAACAAUAUAAUUAGGUUUUACUCUUUGUUCAAUUGAAUAAGAAAAAGUACUGGUUGCAAUGUCAUACUGUUAGGGCUCAACUGAGUAGUCUAACGUUCUUCCGAUUUUGGUUCUCGUGAACGUUGGCAACGAUUCGUCCCAAAUUUACACUACCGGGGCAUAAUAGAAAGCUUUCACUCCUUGUUCGAUAGAAUGAGAAAAAGUACUCGUUCCAAAGUUAUACUGUUAUGGCGCAACAGAGUGGUCUAAUGUUGCUCCUAUUUUGGUUCCUGUGAACGUUGACAUCGAUUCGUUCCAAAUUUACAAUCUCGGGGCAUAAUACAACAAAAUUAUUAGGUUUUACGCUUUAUUCGAUUGAACGAGAAAAAGUACUCAUCGUAAUGUUAUACUGUUAUGGCGUAACUGAGUUGUCUAAUGUUGUUCCGGUUAUGGUUCUUGUGAACGUUGACAUCGACUCGUUCUAAAUUUACACUCUCGGGGCUCGAACAGUAUAAUUAGGUUUUACUCUUUGUUCAAUUGAAUGAGAAAAAGGACUAGUUGCAAUGUUAUACUGUUAGGGCUCAACUGAGUAGUCUAACGUUAUUCCGGUUUUGGUUUUUAUGAACGCUGACAUCGAUUCAUUCCAAAUUUACACCCUUGGGGCAUAACAGAAAGCUUUUACUCCUUGUUCAGUAGAUUGAGAAAAAGUACUCAUAGCAAAGUUAUACUGUUAUGGCGUAAUAGAGUAGUCUAAUGUUGUUCCGGUUUUGGUUCUUGUGAACGUUGACAUCGAUCAGUUCCAAAUAUACACUCUCGGGGCAUAAUAGAACCAUAUUAUUAGGUUUUACGCUUUAUUCGAUUGAACGAGAAAUAGUACUCGUCGCAAAGUUAUACUGUUAUGGCGCAACUUAGUAGUUUAAUGUAGUUCCGGUUUUGGUUCUUGUGAACGUUGACAUCGACUCGUUCUAAAUUUACACUGUCGGGGCUCGAACAGUAUAAUUAGGUUUUACUCUUUGUUCGAUUGAAUGAGAAAAAGGACUAGUUACAAUGUUAUACUGUUAGGGCUCAACUGAGUAGUCUAACGUUAUUCUGGUUUUGGUUUUUGCGAACACUGACAUCGAUUCGUUCCAAAUUUACACCCUUGGGGCAUAAUAGAAAGCUUUUACUCCUUGUUCAGUAGGUAUUGGAGCAACAUUACCUAUUGAUAAAUCCCUAACUUUAGGUCUUUUUCAAAUUGAUUCAACCGCGAAGUACCAUGAUGUAGUUCCCAAGAUCCUAGUUACUUCAAAGUGAAUCUUCCCUAGAUACAUUAAUUUGAUUAUGAUCUAUUCCGCGAAAAUACGGAUUGUGCCAAAGAUGCAAAAUUGUUUUCUUUUUUUCUUUAGAAUUUUCUUUCUAUUAGAAUUAGAAAAAGAAGAUGAAAAAAUUACAAUGGAUUUAAAAUGAGAACUUAUUCUUAGGUAAAUCAAUUGCGAAAUGCUUCUGUAGAGUGUCCAAUAUUUGUUUUACAUCUUCCAUGCGAAAAUAUUCAAUUCUCAUAAGAUCUUCUUGACUGUUACUCAAAAGGUCCAAUAAUGUAUGUAUAUUGGACCUUUUGAGACAAUUAUAGGUCCUGGAAGGCAAUUCUAAUUGGUCAAUAAAAAUACAAUUCAAUGGAAUUCCUUUUUUGUUUUUCUUUAGAUUAGUUAAUCUAUCUUGAAAGGUUAAAAAGGGUAGAGUAAACCUGUUUUUAUUUUCUUCGAAAUUAAUGUCCUCUUCCUCCGCAUGUAGAAAAGGAAUAAAUAAAUCAAUCAAAUUACGAGAAGCCUCAUAAAGUGCUUCCUUAGGAGUUAAACUUCCAUUUGUCCAUAUUUCUAGAAAAAGUAUCUCUUGUUUUUCAUUCCCAUUCCCAUAAGAAUGAAUACUAUGAUUCGCAUUUCGAACAGGCAUGGAUACAGCAUCUAUAGGAUAACUUACAUCUUGAGAGUCAUUUAUGGGUUCCAUACGAUAUCCGCGAUCUCUCUUGAUUUGUAAUCCAAUACACAAAUCAAUUGGUUCCGUCAGGUUAGCUAUAUGUUGUGUCGUGUCAACUAUUUCUACGGAAGGUGGUGAGAUGAUAUCUUGAGCGGUUACGUAUCUAGGACCCC